rnacentral:lncRNA from 1 species
UGAAUGGAGUAUUCUGGAUAUGGAAAAAUGUACAUAGAGAUUGUGAGUAGAUCAACAAAAAAUCGAUCAUUCCUAGUAAGAGGAGUUAUCAUGCUAUGUAUUAUCAUCUCUAGAUGACUCUGAAAAUCUCUGGCCAUAGUAGGAUGAAUAUUAGAAGGUUUCUAAUAUUUCAUCAUUGAGUCAUCACUGAUUGAUGGAUAAUCAAAAGGAAUAUGUUAGUGAGUUUGACAUAUUUUCAUACUCAAAGAUAUAUUCAAGAUGCAGGAUGAUCGAAUGAUUGAAUUAUACGGUAACUCAUCACUGAAGGAUAUAUUUGAUAUUUCAAUCAAAUUUUUCAUCUUCUGAGUAGGCAUGAUACGUUACUAAAUAUCAAUCUUGUCUUGUAGAUUUUCAUGGACUAAAAUGAUUUAUUCAU